GAUGAACGCUGGCGGCGUGCCUAAUACAUGCUAGUCGAGCGAACGGACGAGAAGCUUGCUUUUCUGAUGUUAGCGGCGGACGGGUGAGUAACACGUGGAUAACCUACCUAUAAGACUGGGAUAACUUCGGGAAACCGGAGCUAAUACCGGAUAAUAUUUUGAACCGCAUGGUUCAAAAGUGAAAGACGGUCUUGCUGUCACUUAUAGAUGGAUCCGCGCUGCAUUAGCUAGUUGGUAAGGUAACGGCUUACCAAGGCAACGAUGCAUAGCCGACCUGAGAGGGUGAUCGGCCACACUGGAACUGAGACACGGUCCAGACUCCUACGGGAGGCAGCAGUAGGGAAUCUUCCGCAAUGGGCGAAAGCCUGACGGAGCAACGCCGCGUGAGUGAUGAAGGUCUUCGGAUCGUAAAACUCUGUUAUUAGGGAAGAACAUAUGUGUAAGUAACUGUGCACAUCUUGACGGUACCUAAUCAGAAAGCCACGGCUAACUACGUGCCAGCAGCCGCGGUAAUACGUAGGUGGCAAGCGUUAUCCGGAAUUAUUGGGCGUAAAGCGCGCGUAGGCGGUUUUUUAAGUCUGAUGUGAAAGCCCACGGCUCAACCGUGGAGGGUCAUUGGAAACUGGAAAACUUGAGUGCAGAAGAGGAAAGUGGAAUUCCAUGUGUAGCGGUGAAAUGCGCAGAGAUAUGGAGGAACACCAGUGGCGAAGGCGACUUUCUGGUCUGUAACUGACGCUGAUGUGCGAAAGCGUGGGGAUCAAACAGGAUUAGAUACCCUGGUAGUCCACGCCGUAAACGAUGAGUGCUAAGUGUUAGGGGGUUUCCGCCCCUUAGUGCUGCAGCUAACGCAUUAAGCACUCCGCCUGGGGAGUACGACCGCAAGGUUGAAACUCAAAGGAAUUGACGGGGACCCGCACAAGCGGUGGAGCAUGUGGUUUAAUUCGAAGCAACGCGAAGAACCUUACCAAAUCUUGACAUCCUUUGACAACUCUAGAGAUAGAGCCUUCCCCUUCGGGGGACAAAGUGACAGGUGGUGCAUGGUUGUCGUCAGCUCGUGUCGUGAGAUGUUGGGUUAAGUCCCGCAACGAGCGCAACCCUUAAGCUUAGUUGCCAUCAUUAAGUUGGGCACUCUAAGUUGACUGCCGGUGACAAACCGGAGGAAGGUGGGGAUGACGUCAAAUCAUCAUGCCCCUUAUGAUUUGGGCUACACACGUGCUACAAUGGACAAUACAAAGGGCAGCGAAACCGCGAGGUCAAGCAAAUCCCAUAAAGUUGUUCUCAGUUCGGAUUGUAGUCUGCAACUCGACUACAUGAAGCUGGAAUCGCUAGUAAUCGUAGAUCAGCAUGCUACGGUGAAUACGUUCCCGGGUCU
rnacentral:rRNA from 1 species